AUUGAACGCUGGCGGCAGGCCUAACACAUGCAAGUCGAACGAGUGGCGGACGGGUGAGUAAUGUCUGGGAAACUGCCCGAUGGAGGGGGAUAACUACUGGAAACGGUAGCUAAUACCGCAUACCAUCGGAUGUGCCCAGAUGGGAUUAGCUAGUAGGUGGGGUAACGGCUCACCUAGGCGACGAUCCCUAGCUGGUCUGAGAGGAUGACCAGCCACACUGGAAUUGAGACACGGUCCAGCGUCCGACGGGGAGCAGCAGGGGGGAAUAUUGCAAAAUGGGCUAAAGCCUGAUGCAGCCAUGCCGCGUGUAUGAAGAAGGCUUUCGGGUUGUAAUGUACUUUCAGCGAGGAGGCGGUACUCGCAGAAGAAGCACCGGCUAACUCCGAGCCAGCAGCCGCGGUAAUUC
rnacentral:rRNA from 1 species